rnacentral:lncRNA from 1 species
AAUUACUACACUCUAGUUUAUCCCCGUCAUACAAUUUCAUUUGGCGCAAUAAACAAGGAUAAAUGAUGCAUUCUUCUCAUAAAAAUUUAAGCUUCCUAAAAUUUGGGCGAAAUAGUCCAACUCAAUUCAAUAUGGCAAGAAACACAACUAACUGACUAAGUAUUAAUUAAUUCUCAUGAUGCUUUUCUUAUGUAGAUUCUUGAACAAGGGGCUAUCCGAUUUCAACUUGGCGCUGGACCUCGGGUUCUUGACAAAGGCUAGGAAGUACACCUUCUUCAAGCCCAAGUUCAUCUUCUACGCCACCUACCUGUCGGAGAAGAUCGGGUACUGGAGGUAUAUCACCAUCUUCAGGCACCUCAAGGCGAACCCGGAGUAUCAGGUGUACCCCAUCUUCAAGUACUUCGAGAACUGGUGCCA